rnacentral:rRNA from 1 species
UUAGAUACCCUAGUAUUAAAAUGUCUUAUUUAUUAGUAUUAGUGAAAUUUAAUAAUUUUGGCGGUUGAUUUGUUUUUAGAGGAGCUUGUAUUUAUAGAAUUUACUCUUUAUAUUUUAUUAAAAAUUUAAUUUAUUCAUCUCCGUUAUUAAUUUUUUAAAAGGAAGGUUUGUAAAAUUGUUAUUUUGUAUUUCAGGUCAAGAUGUAAUUUUAUUAAAUAAUAUUAGCUACAUUUAUGUAAUUAAUUGGAUUAUAUUAUAUAAGGAGAAUAUGUAAGGAUUAUAAGAAAUUGAAUUUAGAUGUAACAGUAAUUAGAAUGCUAUUGUGAAUAAUUUUGGUUAAUGUACAUAUUGCCCGUCAUUUCUAUUGAGAAUAGAAUAAGUCGUAACAAAGUA